rnacentral:lncRNA from 1 species
UGCUGUCCGACUGUGACUGAAGGUGCACAUAAAUGUUAUAGUAGUUCCAUACAUUGGUCAAGAAUCAUGGGAUUAGGUAACGAACUAGCCGUUAAGUGAUAGCCAGCAAGUUAAAGAUAAUUAACUUUUCCAGCUUGAUCCUAAAUAAUCAUAAAUUGGUCGAUUAAUUGGAGAACUGAAGAUAAAAUCUAGUUGUUGCUAAAAAAAACUCCUACUAAAAUCAAACAAACUAAAGAUGAUGACAACUCAAAUAUUCACGGGGACAACAAAUAGAUACAGUUACUAUAGAAGCAUAUGUUAUUAAGCAAAAUGGCAAUAAGAUAAAGACUUGAAGAAUGCAGUUUCAACCAUCAAAUAUUUAAUAAGAUAAACCACACCUGAUGAAGAUGCUCUCUCCUAACUCUACACACAAAUUACUCCAAGACAUAACUCACUCAUGGCCCCUAUCUUAUUUUUAUCUUCAUUUAUGCGGAUCUCACAUAGUACUUACAGAAUGUAUUGCUC